GGCGAACGGGUGAGUAAUGCAUCGUGCCCAGUCGUGGGGGAUAACGCAGCGAAAGCUGUGCUAAUACCGCAUACAAUCUAUGGAUGAAAGCGGGGGACCUUCUGGCCUCGCGCGAUUGGAGCGGCCGAUGUUAGAUUAGGUAGUUGGUGGGGUAAAGGCUCACCAAGCCAACAAUCUAUAGCUGGUCUGAGAGGACGACCAACCACACUGGAACUGAGACACGGUCCAGACUCCUACGGGAGGCAGCAGUGGGGAAUUUUGGACAAUGGGCGAAAGCCUGAUCCAGCAAUACCGCGUGCAGGAAGAAGGCCCUCGGGUUGUAAACUGCUUUUGUACGGAACGAAACGGCGCGCUCUAAUAAAGUGCGCUAAUGACGGUACCGUAAGAAUAAGCACCGGCUAACUACGUGCCAGCAGCCGCGGUAAUACGUAGGGUGCGAGCGUUAAUCGGAAUUACUGGGCGUAAAGCGUGC
rnacentral:rRNA from 1 species